UACGUAGGUGGCGAGCAUUGUCCGGAUUUACUGGGCGUAAAGGGAGCGUAGGCGGAUUUUUAAGUGAGAUGUGAAAUACCCGGGCUCAACUUGGGUGCUGCAUUUCAAACUGGAAGUCUAGAGUGCAGGAGAGGAGAGUGGAAUUCCUAGUGUAGCGGUGAAAUGCGUAGAGAUUAGGAAGAACACCAGUGGCGAAGGCGACUCUCUGGACUGUAACUGACGCUGAGGCUCGAAAGCGUGGGGAGCAAACAGG
rnacentral:rRNA from 1 species